AGGACGAACGCUGGCGGCGUGCUUAACACAUGCAAGUCGAGCGGUAAGGCCUUUCGGGGUACACGAGCGGCGAACGGGUGAGUAACACGUGGGUGAUCUGCCCUGCACUCUGGGAUAAGCCUGGGAAACUGGGUCUAAUACCGGAUAUGACCUGCUCUCGCAGUGGGGGGUGGGUAGGAAAGUAUUUUAGUCGGGUGCCGAGGGUAGUCGGGGCCCCGCGGCCCUUAUCCAAGUCUUUGGUUUGGGUGGGGUAAUCGGCCUACCCAAGGGCGACGGACGGGUAGCCGACCUGGAGAGGGUGACCGGCCACACGUGGGGCUGAGACACGGCCCAGACCUCCGUACGGGAGGCAGCAGGUGGGGAAUAGUGACACAAGUGGGACGAAAGCCUGAUGCAGCGACGCCGCGUGGAGG
rnacentral:rRNA from 1 species